UACAGGGGGUGCAAACGUUGCUCGGAAUCAUUGGGCGUAAAGCGCACGUAGGCGGUUUGUUAUGUCGGAUGUGAAAGCCCUUGGCUCAACUGAGGAAGUGCAUCCGAAACUGGCAGCUAGAGUACUAAAGAGGGUCGCGGAAUUCCCGGUGUAGAGGUGAAAUUCGUAGAUAUCGGGAGGAACACCGGUGGCGAAGGCGGCAACCUGGGUAGAUACUGACGCUGAGGUGCGAAAGCGUGGGGAGCAAACAGG
rnacentral:rRNA from 1 species